rnacentral:rRNA from 1 species
UACGUAGGGGGCAAGCGUUGUCCGGAAUUAUUGGGCGUAAAGAGCUCGUAGGCGGUUUGUCGCGUCUGCUGUGAAAACCUAAGGCUCAACCUUGGGCUUGCAGUGGGUACGGGCAGACUAGAGUGCGGUAGGGGUGACUGGAAUUCCUGGUGUAGCGGUGAAAUGCGCAGAUAUCAGGAGGAACACCUAUGGCGAAGGCAGCUCGCUGGGACGGUACUGACGCUGAGGCGCGAAAGCGUGGGGAGCGAACAGG